UUUAGACAGGAGCAGUUAUAUUCAACUUAUACGUGUUUAUUUAAACUUGCUUAUUAGAAAAAAUAUAGUAUAAACAACUCGUUAGUUCGCUCUUAUAUUUUAAACGAGGUUUCGUUUAGCUACACGAGCCGAAGUUGCAUCUGUGCACGUGGACGUCCCAGUUCUGCAUUUGGAUGCAUGGAGAAUAGAGCAUUGUGGAGCUGACAUACAAGGUCGACCUGGUGAAGUGAACAUUCAGUUCAGGGGAUUUCUUGACACCAUUACACAUCACCAAAGCACUUGAGUGGUUUGUCUUUAUUUUAAGUUAUUCAUUGUUGUGUUUAAGUCCUUUUUUUUGUU